rnacentral:rRNA from 1 species
UUCCGGUUGAUCCCGCCGGACCUGACUGCUAUCGGAUUGAUACUAAGCCAUGCGAGUCUUUGUAGCAAUACAAGGCAGACGGCUCAGUAACACGUAGUCAAUCUACCCUAUGGACGAGGAUAACCUCGGGAAACUGAGAAUAAUACUCGAUAGAUCAUGAUUCCCGGAAUGGAUUAUGGUCAAAAUGAUUUAUCGCCGUAGGAUGGGACUGCGGCCUAUCAGUUUGUUGGUGGGGUAAUGGCCCACCAAGACAAUUACAGGUACGGGCUCUGAGAGGAGUGGCCCGGAGAUGGGUACUGAGACACGGACCCAGGCCCUAUGGGGCGCAGCAGGCGAGAAAACUUUGCAAUGUGCGAAAGCACGACAAGGUUAAUCCGAGUGAUUUCUGCUAAAGAAAUCUUUUGUCGGUCGUAGAAUCACCGAUGAAUAAGGGGUGGGCAAGUUCUGGUGUCAGCCGCCGCGGUAAAACCAGCACCUCAAGUGGUCAGGAGGAUUAUUGGGCCUAAAGCAUCCGUAGCCUGUUGUAUCAGUUUUCGGUUAAAUCUAUACGCUUAACGUAUGGGCUGCCGGGAAUACUGUACAGCUAGGGAGUGGGAGAGGUAGACGGUACUCGGUAGGAAGGGGUAAAAUCCUUUGAUCUAUUGAUGACCACCUGUGGCGAAGGCGGUCUACCAGAACACGUCCGACGGUGAGGGAUGAAAGCUGGGGGAGCAAACCGGAUUAGAUACCCGGGUAGUCCCAGCUGUAAACAAUGCAAACUCAGUGAUGCAUUGGCUUGUGGCCAGUGCAGUGCCGCAGGGAAGCCGUUAAGUUUGCCGCCUGGGAAGUACGUACGCAAGUAUGAAACUUAAAGGAAUUGGCGGGGGAGCACCACAAGGGGUGAAGCCUGCGGUUCAAUUGGAGUCAACGCCGGG